UGCAAGUCGAGCGGACAGAAGGGAGCUUGCUCCCGGAUGUUAGCGGCGGACGGGUGAGUAACACGUGGGUAACCUGCCUGUAAGACUGGGAUAACUCCGGGAAACCGGAGCUAAUACCGGAUAGUUCCUUGAACCGCAUGGUUCAAGGAUGAAAGACGGUUUCGGCUGUCACUUACAGAUGGACCCGCGGCGCAUUAGCUAGUUGGUGAGGUAACGGCUCACCAAGGCGACGAUGCGUAGCCGACCUGAGAGGGUGAUCGGCCACACUGGGACUGAGACACGGCCCAGACUCCUACGGGAGGCAGCAGUAGGGAAUCUUCCGCAAUGGACGAAAGUCUGACGGAGCAACGCCGCGUGAGUGAUGAAGGUUUUCGGAUCGUAAAGCUCUGUUGUUAGGGAAGAACAAGUGCAAGAGUAACUGCUUGCACCUUGACGGUACCUAACCAGAAAGCCACGGCUAACUACGUGCCAGCAGCCGCGGUAAUACGUAGGUGGCAAGCGUUGUCCGGAAUUAUUGGGCGUAAAGGGCUCGCAGGCGGUUUCUUAAGUCUGAUGUGAAAGCCCCCGGCUCAACCGGGGAGGGUCAUUGGAAACUGGGAAACUUGAGUGCAGAAGAGGAGAGUGGAAUUCCACGUGUAGCGGUGAAAUGCGUAGAGAUGUGGAGGAACACCAGUGGCGAAGGCGACUCUCUGGUCUGUAACUGACGCUGAGGAGCGAAAGCGUGGGGAGCGAACAGGAUUAGAUACGCUGGUAGUCCACGCCGUAAACGAUGAGUGCUAAGUGUUAGGGGGUUUCCGCCCCUUAGUGCUGCAGCUAACGCAUUAAGCACUCCGCCUGGGGAGUACGGACGCAAGACUGAAACUCUAAGGAAUUGACAGGGGCCCGCACAAGCGGUGGACCAUGUGGUUUAAUUCGAAGCAACGCGAAGAACCUUACCAGGUCUUGACAUCCUCUGACAACCCUAGAGAUAGGGCUUUCCCUUCGGGGACGGAGUGACAGGUGGUGCAUGGUUGUCU
rnacentral:rRNA from 1 species